AUGCAAGUCGAACGGCAGCACGGGGGCAACCCUGGUGGCGAGUGGCGAACGGGUGAGUAAUAUAUCGGAACGUGCCCAGUCGUGGGGGAUAACGUAGCGAAAGUUACGCUAAUACCGCAUACGAUCUACGGAUGAAAGCGGGGGAUCGCAAGACCUCGCGCGAUUGGAGCGGCCGAUAUCAGAUUAGGUAGUUGGUGGGGUAAAGGCUCACCAAGCCAACGAUCUGUAGCUGGUCUGAGAGGACGACCAGCCACACUGGGACUGAGACACGGCCCAGACUCCUACGGGAGGCAGCAGUGGGGAAUUUUGGACAAUGGGCGCAAGCCUGAUCCAACCAUUCCGCGUGCAGGACGAAGGCCUUCGGGUUGUAAACUGCUUUUGUACGGAACGAAAAAGCCUUGGCUAAUACCCAAGGUCCAUGACGGUACCGUAAGAAUAAGCACCGGCUAACUACGUGCCAGCAGCCGCGGUAAUACGUAGGGUGCAAGCGUUAAUCGGAAUUACUGGGCGUAAAGCGUGCGCAGGCGGUUAUAUAAGACAAAUGUGAAAUCCCCGGGCUCAACCUGGGAACUGCAUAUGUGACUGUAUAGCUAGAGUGCGGCAGAGGGGGAUGGAAUUCCGCGUGUAGCAGUGAAAUGCGUAGAUAUGCGGAGGAACACCGAUGGCGAAGGCAAUCCCCUGGGCCUGCACUGACGCUCAUGCACGAAAGCGUGGGGAGCAAACAGGAUUA
rnacentral:rRNA from 1 species